GUUGAAUCCCGUCCCAUCACCUGACAAAGAUCAGUCCUUUCCUCAGGCGACAGAUCGAUGAGUGUUACAGAAGAAGUCGAAAUAUUCUGAAAAAUUCAACUCUGGCAACUCUGACAUGAGGGCUUUUGUUUAACAGCUAAAACUGUGUGUAAACGGUAUGUUUCUGGAGAUGGUGCCGAUUCAUAGAAGGGUGGAGACAUCUGUUCCUUGAUGAGCGCUGAAAGGUCACCUUCUACCCACAGUCACACUCCCAGAGGAGUCGACCCGAGACACGCUGCCGCACUCAACUGACAUUUGCUUUUCAGAGGGGAC
ensembl:lncRNA